rnacentral:lncRNA from 1 species
CUCUCUCUCUCUCUCUCUCUCUCUCUCUCUCUUGAAGAGGAAAAGGAGACUAGGAAGUAUGUUUCCAUGUGAGAAAGGUUUGUCUCAUUCUUGCCACCCACUGAAUGGCUGUCUUGCAAGUAGCAAACUUCACGUGAGUGUGUGCUCCAAGCAACACACUCAAUGCAGAAAACCUUGCACAAUGUUCCUUUGUAAACUGUUUUUCUUAUUAUUACCAAAAGAUACUUGGAGAUCAUGGUAGCUUCUUUGGUGCUUGAUGAGCUUAUGUUUUCCAGGAAGGAAAGUUUACGUGACCUUUGAGCCUGGUUUUCCAGAAGGUGAUCAAAUGAUAAGACAAACCUAAUUGUGAGUCAUAAAUUUCUUGAAAUAGCAUCGAGGACUUGCCAGGUAGAAAGCAAAGCAGAGAAUUUGUCAUGUCCAAGAAAGACCCACAACAAGAAGAAACGGGAUGUGUUUGUCUCUUCUCUCAAGCAUGCUUGUGGCAUUGACUUUGAAGUGGAGUUUUCAGGAGCCAUUUUGCCUGUUCUCUUCAAGCUUUGGAACC